rnacentral:rRNA from 1 species
UACGGAGGGUGCAAGCGUUAUCCGGAUUCACUGGGUUUAAAGGGUGCGUAGGUGGGCAAGUAAGUCAGUGGUGAAAUCUCCGGGCUUAACCCGGAAACUGCCAUUGAUACUAUUUGUCUUGAAUACUGUGGAGGUCAGCGGAAUAUGUCAUGUAGCGGUGAAAUGCUUAGAUAUGACAUAGAACACCAAUUGCGAAGGCAGCUGGCUACACAAAUAUUGACACUGAGGCACGAAAGCGUGGGGAGCGAACAGG